rnacentral:rRNA from 1 species
GCCCGAGUUGUAAUUUGCAGAGGAUGUUUAUGGUGCGGUACCUACCGAGUUCCCUGGAACGGGACGCCACAGAGGGUGAGAGCCCCGUCUGGUAGGAUACUAAACCUGUGUUAAACUCCUUCAACGAGUCGAGUAGUUUGGGAAUGCUGCUCUAAAUGGGAGGUAAAUCUCUUCUAAAGCUAAAUACCGGCCAGAGACCGAUAGCGCACAAGUAGAGUGAUCGAAAGAUGAAAAGCACCUUGAAAAGGGGGUUAAACAGUACGUGAAAUUGUUGAAAGGGAAGCGUUUAUGACCAGACUUGUGCCGUGUGGCUCAUCCGAGGUUCUCCCCGGUGCACUCCACGCGGCUCAGGCCAACAUCGGUUCUUGUUGGGGGAUAAGAAUAGUAGGAACGUAGCUCUCUUCGGAGAGUGUUAUAGCCUAUUGUACGAUACCCUGACGGGGACCGAGGACCGCGCUUCGGCUAGGAUGUUGGCGUAAUGGUCAUUAGCGACCCGUCUUGAAACACGGACCAAGGAGUCGUCCAUUAGAGCGAGCGUUUGGGUGUAAAACCCGCACGCGUAAUGAAAGUGAAAUUAGGUGAGAGCUUCGGCGCAUCAUCGACCGAUCCUGAAGUUUACGGAUGGAUUUGAGUAAGAGUUUUAACGGACGGACCCGAAAGACAGUGAACUAUGCUUGAAUAGGGUGAAGCCAGAGGAAACUCUGGUGGAGGCUCGCAGCGGUUCUGACGUGCAAAUCGAUCGUCAAAUUUGAGCAUGGGGGCGAAAGACUAAUCG